GGCUCCUCUGCCCAUGGGAUUUUUCAGGCAAGAGUACUGGAGUGGGGUGCCAUUGCCUUCUCCGUUAAAUGCACUAAUACAUUUUAAAUGGUGGUGGAAUGACUGACUCAUAGUAAGUGUUCCAAAUUGGUACCUUUAAAUAAUUAUUUGUAUGAUAUUUACAAUUUAUAAUCUAGUAGUCAAAAUGUAUACCAUGUUGUAGCUUAAUUGCCUUGUAUAAGCAUGAUAUAGUUCUUUUGUUGUGGAACACAAUCUGCAUCAAAGGUAAUUGUUUGAUGAAAGAAGUUCUAGUCAUUUUGCUAUUGUUAGAGUUUUCUUAUUUUAGACGCCUGGGAUAUAUACUAGUGCAAGGAGCAAAACUCCAAAGACCACUUAUUUCCUUAAAAAUACAAGAGUUUAUAUAGUUGGUGCUUGGUAAUUGAGAGACAGAUUCUAGCUAGCUCACUGAUACAGAGGCAGCUUACAAGGUUGCAAGUUUUAAAAAUGGAAAAAUACCUAUUGAAACAGCUGAAGAAGGACCAAAAUGCAGAGUAUCACAAGCACAGAAGUGUGAACUCUCAAAAUAUGAAUGUGUUGACCUUUUUUUUUUUUGUUUGUUUUGGCUUUCAACCCUGCAACCGAUUAGAAGAUGGAGGACUUUGGACAUUUUGGUUGUUUCCAAAUUGUCACUAGUAGAAACAGGGCUGCAAUCAACAAUUUUGUAUAUGACUUUGUGUGUACAAAUGCAAGUAUUUUCUGAAAGGGUAAUGGAGCUGAUUAAAGUUGUUUUAUCUGUGGGUACAAGCAAUGUUAAUAAUUAUGCAUUAUCAAAUUGCCCUCCAGAGUUCUUCAUGGCAUUUUCUUCACAUCUUAUGCAAACAUUAUUAAUAAAAUCGGAC